UCGCCGUUGCCGAAGGAUUUUUGGUCACUCGUUCCUUCUCCGUCCAAUAAAUCUUUGCUUGUUGUUGAUUUGUUGGGGACUGGGCGGCGUGUAUCUCCUGAUGAUCUACGGAUCGAGCGGUGUCUCGGCCUUCCCCUCCGAUGGUGGCGCCGUCGGAUGGAGAAGUGAUUUUGGUCCUCACGAAUCUGUAGAUCCCGCGAGUUCUUGGAUUCUCAGGCAGGGCGGUGUGGCGGCUUCGCCGUCCUGGCGAUGUGAGUAUCUAUCUCCCCCUCCUCUUUGUUGUUGCGCCGGCGAAGUAUCCAUCGGUGGCGUGGAGGUGGGGUCCUGGAGUGUAGGAGGUGUUUGGUUGAGCUGCAGGUUUGAUUCCCUCUCAAGAGAUGCUGGUCGUCUUCUUCCUCUCCGGUUCCGUUCGGAGAGUGUCGUUCUCUCGGAGUAUGCUGAUGCCGUGGUUGGCUCUUGGUGUCGCCGCCGAUAUGCGUUCAUCGACUUGAGAUCCCGCCCGGCGUCGGGUGGCUCAUGCGGCUUCAAAACCUUUAUGGCGGGGGUUCCUGUACCCCUGAGGCGGCCUGUGGGCAUGGCGUCUUCUCCAGCUUCGGUGAGCUCCGGCGAUGGCGACGUGGUCUGCGCGUGUUCAGGCGAUGAGUGUUUCGGUGGCCGGCUGUGCUUUUCUGUUGUAUUUUCUUUCUGUUCAGAGGGUGUCUGUGUAAUAUUGUGCUAUGAAUAGAGCAGCUCUUUGUCUCAAAAAAAAGCACACGCACUCCUUCCUCCUCACGGCCUCAAAUGGGCGACGCUAGGGUUUCGCCCAGCCCCAGCCUCGGCCGCCGCUCGACCUCGGCGACCGCCGCUCCUUGGCUCCGCGGCCGCCGCUAGACAUCCACGGCCGUGCCUUGACCUCCUUGGCUCCUCUGCCGCCACUCGACCUCCUUAGCUCCUCGGUCGCCGCUCGACCUCCACCACCACGCUUCGCCAACACUUGCUUCCCCGUAUCCGGCCCUUCAUUGAUAUGGACUCGUGCUCCUCAGCCCUCAUGGUGUUGUGCUACACGCGUGCUCCGCGGCCCCUCCUCCACGGUGUCAUACAGAAAGGACGAGGGCGAGUCCUGGUUACUGACGUGUGUGGGUGUGGAUGUGGGAACACACCUAUCAUAUGCCCUAGCAGUGCAAGCCUGAACACAUGUCAUAUGUUGGAGUAGAUGCAAGUAUAUGAAUGAUGAAUGGGUGCUGCCUUAAAUCAUCAGCACAUUAGUGGUGCCCGAUCAAAGUCAAACGCUCGCCCUGGACAACCCCGUUCGCCAAAGUGGUUACGCCGAGCUGUAGUUGCUGGGCGCCCAUCUAGCCGCUCUGCUGGGUGUGGCGUCACUCCUGUCCCCGGCAACAUGUACUUCUCUACCAGACAAAUUAACUUAGAUUGGGUUGCUGCAAGAGUUUUUAUUGUUGAUUUCGAAUGUUUUUUAAGGAGAAAGGUUAGUAAAUGAUGUUGUUUUCUACAAUGCAAA